CUCGCAAAGAGGCCCGCGAGUGCGCUCACCCAACGCGCGGCAGCAAGAAGAAGAAGAACCCGGAGAAGAGAGAGCCUCGCCGACGCCAUCCGCAGGCCUCGCGCAUGGCGAGACAAAAGAAAGAAAAGAAGAAAAUUGCGUCAUAGCGAGAAACGAAAAGGACCAGGAAAAGAAAAAAAAGGCACGGCACAGAAAAGACGAUAAAAAAAGACGAUAAAAAAGAGAGAGAGAGGUCGCGAGAGGACAGCCUCUUUGUCGUACACGAGCGUGCCCAAGGGCGCGGCAUUGGGAGCGGGAAAAAAACAGAGGAGUGAGCGUCGGCGGCGCCGGGAAGCAAAGGGCCUGCCACGUGCGCGCGCGCGCGAGGAGCCGGGAA
rnacentral:lncRNA from 1 species